UAUUUAAAUUGUGUAUAACAACCAAUUUAACCCGGCAUGCUUCUCAUUUAGAACUCUACUGAUAAGCUUUGUUUAAAUUUAUAUGCAUAAAGGGAAGGUGCAAAUCCUGAAACCAAAAGUCCGAACAAACCCAGUCUUCACAACUGAUAAUGUUUUUGCCUACUAUUUGGAACUACACGAAAUGCAUUAUCGGAUAUGUGGCACUUUUGCAUCACCUCGCAGUUUCACUACGUCCAAAUUUUUCCCCCACUCCAAAGAUGAUCUGGGGCUUAGCUGCUACCCCCCAAGAUGGAUCAGUCCAGGGAAAUGUCCAUAUUACAAUACAUACCAAGGAAACAUGGAUGAAAAAGACUGCAACCGGGAUCGUGGAAACUGUCCAACAGGUCAAUUCAGAUCUCCAUUGUCUGUUAUGUAUGGAGGAUGUUAUAUCAAAGAAGAGCGAAUUAUAACCACAACAGAGGCAUUAACGACAACGGAAGCGAUGAAAUCCUUCACUUGUGAACCUGUGAAAUCAAACUGCUCAAAAUUUAUUUCAGCAGCAGAAGAAGGAAAGUCCACCUCAUGCAGCGGAGUAAUAGCUGCUUGUAUUGUUUUAGCGGUCAUCAUUGUAGUACUCCUUGUUGCUUUCGUUCUCAAGUUUACACAAGUGGCGAACAACUUGCCUUGUUUGGGGAGUUUGGCAUCUUCUAAUCCAAAUGAGGAGGGAAUCAUUGAGGAUGCUGAAACCCCUUUAAAAUGACGACAGAAAGAUUAGCAAUGCUCUGGUGUAAAAAGUGAAACUGAAAGUUUGAAUGUUAUUUAAGAUAUGCAUCUAUGAAUUAAACAUAACGACAUGGUACAAACAAAAUGAAAGUUAAAUUCAUCAAAUUUCUGUACGGUAGUGAAAUUUGGUGUAGCACCAAUAACUUUUUUUAAGAUCUUAAUGUUUAUUUAGAUAUAAAUUUGUAUAAAUAUUGAUGAACUAUUAUGUAAAUUGAAAAUAUCUGGCUGUAUAUAAUAAGUGCAAAAAUAUGUAGAGAUCCAAAAAUGCAUCUUCAUAAGAAAUACAAGUACACAGAACAGUGCAAAAUUAUUCUGAUUUAAAAAUGAACAAAGGUAAGAUGACCAUGUUAAUGUGUCCGCGUAUUUUUAAUUAGGCAGCUUUUGAUAUUGUGUUCAUGUUUUAUUUUUAUUCAUAAAAGUUCGUUAAGUUUUAACUGCCAUUUACUUUGAUACACAUUGUUUUUAUAUAAAAACCUGAAACUUGAAUCGUCCGAUUUUUUAGACGAUUUUUGAUUUUUUUAUUGACCACUUCUUGUAUUUUUUUUGAGAUCUUAAUGUUUAUUUAGAUAUAAAUUUGUAUAAACAUUGAUGAACUAUUAUGUAAAUUGAAAAUAUCUGGCUGUAUAUAAUAAGUGCAAAAAUAUGUAGAGAUCCAAAAAUGCAUCUUCAUAAGAAAUACAAGUACACAGAACAGUGCAAAAUUAUUCUGAUUUAAAAAUGAACAAAGGUAAGAUGACCAUGUUAAUGUGUUCGCGUAUUUUUAAUUAAGGCAGCUUUUGAUAUUGUGUUCAUGUUUCAUUUUUAUGCAUAAAAGUUCAUUAAGUUUUAACUGCCAUUUACUUUGAUACACAUUGUUUUUAUAUAAAAACCUGAAACUUGAAUCGUCCGAUUUUUUAGACGAUUUUUGAUUUUUUUAUUGACCACUUCUUGUAUUUUUUUUGAGAUCUUAAUGUAUAUUUAGAUAUAAAUUUGUAUAAACAUUGAUGAACUAUUAUGUAAAUUGAAAAUAUCUGGCUGUAUAUAAUAAGUGCAAAAAUAUGUAGAGAUCCAAAAAUGCAUCUUCAUAAGAAAUACAAGUACACAGAACAGUGCAAAAUUAUUCUGAUUAAAAAAUGAACAAAGGUAAGAUGACCAUGUUAAUGUGUUCGCGUAUUUUUAAUUAAGGCAGCUUUUGAUAUUGUGUUCAUGUUUUAUUUUUAUUCAUAAAAGUUCAUUAAGUUUUAACUGCCAUUUACUUUGAUAAACAUUGUUUUUAUAUAAAAACCUGAAACUUGAAUCGUCCGAUUUUUUAGACGAUUUUUGAUUUUUUUAUUGACCACAUCUUGUAUUUUUUUUUUUGGAGAUCUCAAUGUUUUAUUCAGAUAUAAAUUUGUAUACACAUUGAUGAACUAUUAUGUAAAUUAAAAAUAUCUGGCUCGAUAUAAUAAGUGCAAAAAAAUGUAGAGAUCCAAAAAUGCAUCUUCAUAAGAAAUACAAGUACACAGAACAGUGCAAAAUUAAUCUGAUUUAAAAAUGAACAAAGGUAAGAUGACCAUGUUAAUGUGUUCGCGUAUUUUUAAUUAAGGCAGCUUUUGAUAUUGUGUAAUGUUUUAUUUUUAUUCAUAAAAGUUCAUUAAGUUUUAACUGCCAUUUACUUUGAGUACAUAUUGUUUUUAUAUAAAAACCUGAAACUUGAAUCGUCCGAUUUUAAGACGAUUUUUGAUUAUUUUUAUUGACCACCUUCUGUAUUGUUUUUUUAAAUUUAAAUAAAACGAAACCAACAAAAUCUACAUU
rnacentral:misc_RNA from 1 species